rnacentral:rRNA from 1 species
GAUGAACGCUGGCGGCAGGCUUAACACAUGCAAGUCGAGCGAAUGGAUUAAGGGCUUGCUCUUAUGAAGUUAGCGGCGGACGGGUGAGUAACACGUGGGUAACCUGCCCAUAAGACUGGGAUAACUCCGGGAAACCGGGGCUAAUACCGGAUAACAUUUUGAACCGCAUGGUUCGAAAUUGAAAGGCGGCUUCGGCUGUCACUUAUGGAUGGACCCGCGUCGCAUUAGCUAGUUGGUGAGGUAACGGCUCACCAAGGCAACGAUGCGUAGCCCACCUGGGAGGGUGAGCGGCCACACUGGGACUGAGACACGGCCCAGAAUCCUACGGGAGGCAGCAGUAGGGAAUCUUCCGCAAUGGACGAAAGUCUGACGGAGCAACGCCGCGUGAGUGAUGAAGGCUUUCGGGUCGUAAAACUCUGUUGUUAGGGAAGAACAAGUGCUAGUUGAAUAAGCUGGCACCUUGACGGUACCUAACCAGGAAGCCACGGCUAACUACGUGCCAGCCGCCGCGGUAA